rnacentral:misc_RNA from 1 species
GAUGAUGAACGUAGCGAAAUGCGAUAAGUAGUGUGAAUUGCAGAAUUCAGUGAAUCAUCGAAUCUUUGAACGCACAUUGCGCCCCUUGGUAUUCCAUGGGGCAUGCCUGUUCGAGCGUCAUCUACACCCUCAAGCUCUGCUUGGUGUUGGGCGUCUGUCCCGCCUUUGCGCGUGGACUCGCCCCAAAUUCAUUGGCAGCGGUCCUUGCCUCCUCUCGCGCAGCACAUUUGCGCUUCUCGAGGUGCGCGGGCCGCGUCCACGAAGCAACUAUUACCGUCUUUGACCUCGGAUCAGGUAGGGAUACCCGCUGAACUUAAGCAUAUCAAUAAGCGGAGGA